rnacentral:rRNA from 1 species
ACCGAUAGUGAACUAGUACCGUGAGGGAAAGGUGAAAAGUACUCCUAACGGAGAGUGAAAUAGAACCUGAAACCGUAUGCCUACAAGCAGUCGGAGUUCCGAUUUAUCGGGAUGACGGCGUGCCUUUUGCAUAAUGAGCCAGCGAGUUGCUCGUAUGUUGCAAGGUUAAUCCCUUUAUGGGAGGAGCCGAAGCGAAAGCGAGUCUGAAUAGGGCGAUUCAGUAACAUGCGGCAGACCCGAAGCCGAGUGAUCUAUCCAUGGCCAGGUUGAAGCGACAGUAACAUGUUGUGGAGGACCGAACCCACAAGGGUUGAAAACCUUGGGGAUGAGCUGUGGAUAGGGGUGAAAGACCAAUCAAACUCGGCGAUUUCUGGUUCUCCCCGAAAUGCCUUUAGGGGCAGCGUCGUGGAAGUGCCUCGGGGGUAGAGCACUGGAUGGACUAGGGGCCCUACAAGGUUACCAAACCCAACCAAACUCCGAAUACCAAGAUUAUGAUCCGUGGCAGUGAGGCCGUGGGGGAUAAGCUUCAUGGCCGAAAGGGAAACAACCCAGACCAACAGCUAAGGUCCCCAAAUCCGGGUUAAGUGACAAAGGAUGUGGGAUUGCUUAAACAGCUAGGAGGUUGGCUUAGAGGCAGCCAUCCUUUAAAGAAAGCGUAACAGCUCACUAGUCAAGGAAUCCUGCGCCAAUAAUCUCCGGGACUGAUAAACCCGGUACCGAAGCUAUGGUCUUUCCGAUUUAUCGGGAAGAGGUAGGGGAGCGUUCCAUUAACCUGUGAAGCCUUUGCCGGAAGGCGGGGUGGAGGAGAUGGAAGUGAGUAUGCUGGCAUAAGUAGCGAUAAACUCGAUGAAAUUUCGAGUCACCGAAAGCCUAAGGUUUCCUGAGUAAAGUAAAUCUGCUCAGGGUUAGUCGGACCCUAAGCCGAGGCCGAAAGGCGUAGGCGAUGGAUAACAGGUGAAUAUUCCUGUACUACCCUGUUGUUGUCUGAGUGAUGGGGGGACGCAGAAGUGAAAGGUCAGCCCGGUUUUGAUUGUCCGGGUUUAAGUGAGUAGGGGGUUCUGGUAGGCAAAUCCGCCGGAACUUAACCCCGAGACACGAAUAGGAGGGCCUAGCCCAUAAACUGACCCUAAUCAUGCUGCCAAGAAAAUCCUCUAAACAAGAUGACAGGGUAACCGUACCUCAAACCGACACAGGUAGGCGAGAUGAGUAUUCUAAGGUGCUUGGGUGAAUUCCAGUUAAGGAACUCGGCAAAUUGACCCCGUAACUUCGGGAGAAGGGGUGCCUCGAUUAGAUGAAAUCUCCUUCGGGCAGAUGGAGUCGAAAGAGGCCGCAGUGAAAUGGCUCGGGCGACUGUUUACUAAAAACACAGGUCUCUGCUAAGUCGUAAGACGAAAUAUAGGGACUGACACCUGCCCGGUGCCGGAAGGUUAAGGGAACGUGUUAUCCCGCUUCGGCGGGAGAAGCUCAGAACCGAAGCCCCGGUAAACGGCGGCCGUAACUAUAACGGUCCUAAGGUAGCGAAAUUCCUUGUCGGGUAAGUUCCGACCUGC